CAUAGCUCAGAUCUCAGCCCUCCAAAACAAAUCCAACGGCUGAGAUUCGUCCACGUCAUCACGAGUUAAAAUUUAACUCGUAGGAGUAAAAAUUUUACUUGGAGUCAAAUUUUAUUGGAGUUAAAUUUUAACUCGUGAUGACGUGGACGAAUCUCAGCUGUUGGAUUUAUUUUGGAGGGCUGAGAUCUACGCUAUA
rnacentral:pre_miRNA from 1 species